rnacentral:lncRNA from 1 species
GAACCAGAUAAAAGUAAAGCAGCAUCCUUAUACACAAAGGAAAUAAUUUGCCAACAUGAGAUGAGAAAGCCCCUCUUGAUGACCAUGGAUUUGAGGAUGGACAAGGAAGAUCAAGACAGAACUUGUUGCAUUCUACAAACAAAACGGCAUAGAAUGGGCAAGCCCUGUGAAGUGCAGACUCCAAGGUGGUAUUAAACAAGUAAAUACAUUUAUUUAGUGGCAUUCCUAGUUAGGUUUUAAUGGCCAUGUCUCUCUCUCUCUCUUUUUUUAUUUAUUUUUUUGGACUGUUGCUGUAAAUUGCUGUUACAUUCAGGGGAUGCUGCCAUUGGUGAGGGAGUAACCAGACAUUUCUUGUCUACUGUUAUACAGAGGCUUCAGCAUGGAUUUAAUUUUAACAUGGGAAAUACUGCAAGGACCUGUCUCUUUGACGGUGAACCAGGUCAUCUUGUUCCAUCAUCAUCACAAUUUCUCGUAGAGAGUGAUCUGUUCCUUGUUGCAGGACGAAUGAUUGGACAUUCUUUCCUACAUGGUGGACCUCGGCUGGCUGGAGUCAGCCAAGCAAUAGUCCAUGUACUACUAGGAGGUUCACCUGAGACUGCUACAGUGCAAAUAGAAGACUGUCCUGACCAUGAUAUUCGUGAUAUUCGUGAACUGGUAUUUACAUUAUACAUACAUACAGUAGCAUAAUUUAGCUGUAAUUUAAACAAUUCAAACAAUUCAUCUUUUUUUUUUUUUUUUACUUUCAUUUAUACUGUUCUACAUGGAGCUUGAUGGAGAGGCUGAACUCACUAGCAGUGAAUAUCAAGCUGUCCUUGACCUGAGUCUUGCGUGGGAUCUUCCUGGCCCAACCAAAGAAAACCGGAAGUGGCUUUUUGAGCGCCUUUUAUCAUAUGCGGUAGUGUUGUUGUUGUUUUUUUUCUUUUGUUUAAUUA